GGGAACCCGAUGUCACCUCCGGAAUGGGGCAGUGUGGCCAUGGUGUUCUCCGGUCUUUCAUACCAGAUUUGGUGCAAGUGCCUAAAGAAGCGGGACAAAUUAGCUGACCUUGUCCGAUUGAACAACCCUAACCAUUCCCGAGGGAGCAGCUGGCAGAUUCAACAUUGAAAAAUCACACAUACUCCCACAGCUAUCCAUUAUCCAACACAAUUGACAACGGUAAAUCCAACUCCGUAUACUGAUACCAUUCCACAGUAGUUCUGCAACUUCUACUUGGUUGCGGCAACAAAACACUGCAAUUAGAAAUGGGCUGUUUCCUCAAGAAAUAGGAUUUUGAUGAACUCACCAUAAGUGUUGCCAAAUGGGUUCUUCCACGUCCGGCCGGCACUUUGCUGUUACCUAUCCCAAACUCAGAGACGCAGAAACACAAACAAAUCGAUAGCAUUCAUGCUCUUGGACCAAUUUACCAUUAUCCCAGUUGGGUCUUUCACAAUCAGAGCAAGCAAUGCAACUAACAGGGAAGUGGCUCAAUGAGAAUGACAACAUAAGACUGAU
rnacentral:lncRNA from 1 species